rnacentral:rRNA from 1 species
CCUGGCUCAGAACGAACGCUGGCGGCGUGCUUAACACAUGCAAGUCGAACGAGAAAGCCCUUCGGGGUGAGUAAAGUGGCGCACGGGUGAGUAACGCGUGGGUAAUCUACCCUUUGGCGGGGGAUAACACUUCGAAAGAGGUGCUAAUACCGCAUAAGACCACGCCCUCGAGGGGGAGUGGGAAAAGAUGGGGAUCUUCGGACCUGUCACCAGAGGAUGAGCCCGCGUACCAUUAGAUAGUUGGUGGGGUAACGGCCUACCAAGUCGAAGAUGGUUAGCUGGUCUGAGAGGAUGAUCAGCCACACUGGGACUGAGACACGGCCCAGACUCCUACGGGAGGCAGCAGUGGGGAAUAUUGCGCAAUGGGGGCAACCCUGACGCAGCAACGCCGCGUGUGUGAAGAAGGCUUUCGGGUCGUAAAGCACUGUCGAGUGGAACGAGCCUGUUAUGGUUAAUACCCGCGACCCCGACGGUACCACUUGAGGAAGCACCGGCUAACUCCGUGCCAGCAGCCGCGGUAAUACGGAGGGUGCAAGCGUUGUUCGGAAUUAUUGGGCGUAAAGCGCGCGUAGGCGGGAAGCUAAGUCUGAUGUGAAAUCCCUCGGCUCAACCGAGGACGUGCAUUGGAUACUGGCUUUCUUGAAUCCUGGAGAGGGUGGCGGAAUUCCCAGUGUAGAGGUGAAAUUCGUAGAGAUUGGGAGGAACACCAGUGGCGAAGGCGGCCACCUGGACAGUGAUUGACGCUGAGGUGCGAAAGCGUGGGUAGCAGACAGGAUUAGAUACCCUGGUAGUCCACGCCGUAAACGAUGGGUACUAGUUGGUGCGGGUAUUGACCCCUGCGCUGACGCAGCUAACGCAUUAAGUACCCCGCCUGGGGAGUACGGCCGCAAGGCUAAAACUCAAAGGAAUUGACGGGGGCCCGCACAAGCGGCGGAGCAUGUGGUUUAAUUCGACGCAACGCGAAGAACCUUACCUGGCCUUGACAUCUCGGGAAGUAGCUUGAAAGAGCUUCGUGCCCUUCGGGGAACCCGAUGACAGGUGCUGCAUGGCUGUCGUCAGCUCGUGUCGUGAGAUGUUGGGUUAGGUCCCGCAACGAGCGCAACCCCUGUCUCUAGUUGCCAGCAUUUAGUUGGGCACUCUAGAGAGACUGCCGGUGUCAAGCCGGAGGAAGGUUAAGGUGCGUCAACUGUUCCAGGCCCGCCGCGCCCAGGCUGACCGCCCUUUUCAAUGGUAGCUGCUAUGAGCAACGAAGAUACGAACUUGAGCUAAUGUCCAAAACCCUGUUUUAAGAAUAAGGAGAGUCUUCAACUGUGCCCCCAGAAGUGGUAAUCCGUAGUAUUCAUGCAUUAUCCUG